ACGAACGCUGGCGGCGUGCUUAACACAUGCAAGUCGAACGAAGAGCGAUGGAAGCUUGCUUCUAUCAAUCUUAGUGGCGAACGGGUGAGUAACGCGUAAUCAACCUGCCCUUCAGAGGGGGACAACAGUUGGAAACGACUGCUAAUACCGCAUACGAUCUGACCUCGGCAUCGAGGAUAGAUGAAAGGUGGCCUCUAUUUAUAAGCUAUCACUGAAGGAGGGGAUUGCGUCUGAUUAGCUAGUUGGAGGGGUAACGGCCCACCAAGGCGAUGAUCAGUAGACGGUCUGAGAGGAUGAACGGCCAAAUUGGGACUGAGACACGGCCCAGACUCCUACGGGAGGCAGCAGUGGGGAAUCUUCCGCAAUGGACGAAAGUCUGACGGAGCAACGCCGCGUGAGUGAUGACGGCCUUCGGGUUGUAAAGCUCUGUUAAUCGGGACGAAAGGCCUUCUUGCGAAUAGUUAGAAGGAUUGACGGUACCGGAAUAGAAAGCCACGGCUAACUACGUG
rnacentral:rRNA from 1 species